rnacentral:rRNA from 1 species
UGGGGAAUUUUGCACAAUGGGGGAAACCCUGAUGCAGCGACGCCGCGUGAUUUAGAAGGCCUUCGGGUUGUAAAAAUCUUUUCUAUGGGAAGAAAAUGACAGUACCAUAGGAAUAAGGACCGGCUAAUUACGUGCCAGCAGCCGCGGUAAUACGUAAGGUCCGAGCGUUGUCCGGUAUCAUUGGGCGUAAAGGGUACGUAGGCGGGUAAGCAAGUUAGAAGUGAAAUCCUAUAGCUCAACUAUAGUAAGCUUUUAAAACUGCUCAUCUUGAGGUAUGGAAGGGAAAGUGGAAUUCCUAGUGUAGCGGUGAAAUGCGCAGAUAUUAGGAGGAAUACCGGUGGCGAAGGCGACUUUCUGACCAUAACCUGACGCUGAGGUACGAAAGCGUGGGUAGCAAACAGG